CGAGGGGUAGCAGGGCUACGGCCGCUGACGACCGGCGCACGGGUGAGUAACGCGUAUGCAACCUGCCUUUUACACUGGGAUAGGCUUUCGAAAGGGAGAUUAAUACCGGAUAAAACAGGGGCGCCGCAUGGCGCUAUUUGUUAAAUGAUUAAUUUUGGUAAGAGAUGGGCAUGCGUUGGAUUAGGUAGUUGGGAGGGUAAUGGCCUACCAAGCCAGCGAUCCAUAGGGGAACUGAGAGGUUUGUCCCCCACACUGGUACUGAGACAGGGACCAGACUCCUACGGGAGGCAGCAGUGAGGAAUAUUGGUCAAUGGUCGGGAGACUGAACCAGCCAAGUCGCGUGAAGGAAGACGGUAUUAUGUAUUGUAAACUUCUUUUAUAGGGGAAUAAAGUACGGGACGCGUCCUGUUUUGUAUGUACCUUAUGAAUAAGCAUCGGCUAACUCCGUGCCAGCAGCCGCGGUAAUACGGAGGAUGCGAGCGUUAUCCGGAUUUAUUGGGUUUAAAGGGUGCGUAGGUUGGAGAAUAAGUCAGCGGUGAAAUCUCACAGCUUAACUGUGAAACUGCCGUUGAAACUGUUGUUCUUGAGUGUAAACGAGGCAGGCGGAAUUCGUAAUGUAGCGGUGAAAUGCAUAGAUAUUACGAAGAACCCCGAUAGCGCAGGCAGCUUGCCAGGCUACAACUGACACUGAAGCACGAAAGUGUGGGUAUCAAACAGGAUUAGAUACCCUGGUAGUCCACACAGUAAACGAUGAUUACUCGCUGUUUGCGAUACACAGCAAGCGGCCAAGCGAAAGCGAUAAGUAAUCCACCUGGGGAGUACGCCGGCACGGUGAAACUCAAAGGAAUUGACGGGGGCCCGCACAAGCGGAGGAACAUGUGGUUUAAUUCGAUGAUACGCGAGGAACCUUACCCGGGCUCGAACGGCUAUGGAAUGUUUAUGAGAGUAAGCAGUUCGCAAGAACCGUAGUCGAGUGCUGCAUGGUGUCGUCA
rnacentral:rRNA from 1 species